rnacentral:lncRNA from 1 species
AAUACAGGGAAUCCACUGUUCACACGGACAGAGUCUCCUCUGUAUUUGCACGGCGUCGCACAAGUACAAGAAGUCAUCUAGGCACAACCACAAUAAACGAACAUACAAAUAACCAACCGUUAUAUAUAUUCAUACACCAUUCACUACAGAUUCACAUUUAUGCAUAAAUCCACACCUAUCAGUUAAAAUGUUUCCAACCACAGAAACGGGUUUUGAAAUACUAAGAUGCAAAAUCCACAGAAACCUUUUGAAAACUGUUUCCUACACGGAAACCUUUAUUCUUUAAAAACGCUACCGCGAGGGGUAGAAAACCUUUUAUUUCAAGAAAACACAAAUCCUUUAUUACAUUCCAAAAUCAACUGAAAACUCAGAUAUUCAAAUAAUAACACAAAACUGAACCAUGUAAACCGACUAAACUAUAAAUCAACAGAAAUAAUAAGGGUAAUAACUAAAUCGAAAUAACCUGGGUCGGAAGCUCUAUCGACCGCUACACACGUACCUCACAUCUCGUCCCACUAUUCAUCGCCCGCGAUACCUGAAAAAUGGUGGGGGAGGUGAGAACAUGUAAACAUGUCUCCCCUCCCAGUAGGUACCGCAAGCCGAUGAAGGCGAGGAGUACUCACCGGAUCAGGAAGAGCUAAAUAACAACAAGGGUCAGUGGAAAUAUAGUAGCAACAAUAAUAAGGUAAAGAGCAAGUAUACCGAAUACAGUAGCAACAAUAAUAAGGUAAAGAGCAGAUAUACCGAAUACAGUAGCAAUAAACUGAAAGAAAGUAAGAACUAGACUGAAUAACGGCUACCACUACUGUAAUUGGAACCGAAAGCAUAUAUGAAUAUCUACUAUAGUAGCAAGACAACUAUAAAGUAAGAACUGUAAAUAUGCAUGCAACGACUGCUACUAUAGACAUAUGCGUCAACCGGUCAAGAAGUCCAAAAGUACUCAAUCUGAAACCAAUGCUCUCUUGGUCAGCACCGCAGACCUCAAGCCAGUGCCACUACUACUCUCCAGUGCAUAUAACCCCUCUAGGGCUCACGGGUUGUCACCAUUCAACCACUUUUCCGGAAAAGAACACUCCUUGCGGUGGAUCAGACCGCCAGUGUUCGUGAAAUGCGACGAGUAUCGGGCGAUCAAUGUAAUAUGCUCAAUGAUCAAACGUCAGCAACCAGCCGACAAUCCUGCCCCACAGGGCCCAUCGACCGCAUAGGUCAACUAGGAUGGGACAACAACGACAUCCUCUCAAACAUAUGCAAAUACUGCUCAAUGAACCACAAGGACUGACCACUCAGAUCAACUAGGAUAUGAAACUCGACCAAUCACGUCACAAGUAUAGGAUAUGAAACUCGACCAAUCACGUCACAAGUAUAGGAUAUGAGUAAAGUAUAAUCAUCCGUCGGCAACUAACCGACAAUCCCACCCCUCAGGGUAUACCGACCUCAACGGUCAUCAGACAACAAAGGUCGAGGAACUCACCGAAUAGGUCACAAAUACUGAAUACUAGAAUCGACCGACUAGAUCGCUAAUCUCACAGAUAGUCACAGAAUCGCUCUACUAUAAAUAUGAAACAGGGUAUGCAGAAUAGCUAAGUAGAGCAACAAGAAAACAUGGUAUCACAUACAGAUAGAUUAUACUCCUACACAUGAUACUAAGCAUGGAAACGUCUGAGUAGAGAUAUAAUCAAAAACAACGUGGGUUAAUGUAACGAUAGAGUGGCAAAGCUCAACAUAUAAAUAUGCACGUGAUCAAUAACAAAAGAGGCAGAUAAGAAACGAUUCACCGGCGUGCACCACACUGUACCAACGUCGGAUCGAGAGUGCACCACCUGUAAGGAUGUCCGCCUGUCUUCCCAACGUGCGAAAGUAAUGACAACCGGAACUACAGAGGGUCCACUCACCGGUUCAGUAUGUAACCCACAUAACAUCAACCACUAAAUCCGAAACCUCAACCUAAACCGUAUCGUUAAACUCACAAUUCCAAAAAUCAUAGCGCCUCGGGAAUCGCGGUUUCCGCGAAACCAAUUCACCGAACAAAUCGCGAAGUCCCGAAAACCACACCGGACUCUCCGGAGCCAGGACUUGUCCGCGAAACUCAACCGACGUCGCACUGAUCGAGCAACGACCGUUGCCACUACAUACAAUUACAUAGUGACUUUGGCAGCAAAGACCUUAACUCAUCUCCAAGACGAUGUUAUCGUCGGAUAAUUCGUUCCGACCGGGUUCCCGGAAGUGUCUAUUUCGCACACCGGAAACCCACCGCUCACUCACCCGUUCAUUUCCAAACCUCGACAAUGACCACGGGACAGCCAUACUAGGGUCUCGCGCACAAUAAAUCAUCCGAGACACCGUCGGAAUAAUCCGAAACCGAAACGCCGCUCCGUCGGCCGCUGAUUUUGCCGACAAACGCCACCGGAAUGCCCCUUCUUCCAUCUUCAAAAAGGGUCGGGCCUUGGACAAUCAAGUCCAGAGCGUCACCCAAACUCUCCAUGCUGCCAACAGCAAGCGCGAACGAACAAGGUUGCAUAAGAAGCCCGCUUCCGAAUACCCGAAAUCGCAUUAUUUCAUGCGAUUUUGGCCGCUUUAUAGUCGUUCUGCCACAAACCAGAAGUGAAAACAGCGGAAGCACGAAACACCCGCUGCACAGGUCUCGGCCUGCCGGAAACGAUGCUACAACCUUUCGGAGCAAUUCCGGGCCACAGAGGGAAGCGACGAGCAAUGCGAAACUUGCUGAGACUGCCGCGCACAGCUCAAAGAUUGCCGAUUAACUCCUAACCAGAGCUGGCAUCAGCGCGGUCGGAGCAAUGAGCACGAUGUUCAGCACGAACCCGUAGAUCAUCGUGCUCACUUUCCAGGGGUCCGGGCUGUCGGGGAGUCAUUGGUCACCGAGCAAGGGUGGCCCGAAAGCCUAAUGACUACUGUGCACGAACACCAACAACGGCGCUUACCGGAUCGGAGGAGGGCUAGGGUUGUCGCGGCGAUCCGGGAGGGGGAGCGGCCGGCCAGGGAGGGCCUGCUCGUGGCCGGUGGUUGUGGGGUUCGGGCACUGCGCUGGCGGGCGGGAGGUGGCCGUGUGGCGGCGGCCCGCAGCACAAAGCCGCCGAGUUCCUCUCGCUGUUCGAGCUCCUGGCGGCGCAGUGGCGGCGAUCCGGAUGUGAGGUCCGGGCGGCAGAUCCGGCAUGGCGAGACCGAGGGGGAAGGUGGUGCACCCUCGGUGGGCAGUGGCGCGUGGAGCGCCGAGCUGGGUCCGACCUCGGCAAUUCGCACGGGUCAUGUGGUGGCCGAUGAGUUCCAGCGGUGCCCGCCCGGGCCAGGCGUGCAGGACGCGGCGGGCGGCAAGCGGAGGUUGCUCGGGAGGUCACUGGAAGGCGAGCGCGGCCGAUGAGGGCGAGCGCAGCGGCGUGGCGCCCGCCUAGACGAGCGCCCAAGCUCUGGCCUAGGGCUGACCGCAGUAUGGCCCGCAGGACUCCGCGCGGGGCUCCGGCAGGUAUGGUAAUGGCCGGAGUCGGCGGGGAAGAUGCUCGGAGAUGCGGUGCUCGGCCACGGGGAUGUAAGCUCGGUGAACCCGAAGCUUCUUUCGCAAUCUUCGGCGAAGUCGGAGCGAAGGGUGGCCGAGAGGCAAGGAAGAUCGGGGUGGCUUGUCGGCGGCCGGGAGCUCGCCGGCCGGCCGCGGCGUUGCGACGUGUGGCAGGCGCAGAAGGUGGGGCGGCUAGGGCUCGGUUCGGCUGAGGAGAAGGCCAAAAGCUAGGGUUUCCUCACGAAACCCUAGUGCAACUACUAUUUACAUAUGCACAUUUGCAAGAUAGUCCUCCCAGGGAUAAUAUUCUCAGUCAAGUCCCUCACAGCAUGCGUAUUUUACACAUACGCACCUCCAUGUCCGAUCUCACGCAAUUCGGCACAUAAAAUAUUACGACUUUUGCGAAUUUCCCGAUUUUCCACUCUCGACCCCUUAGCGAACUUCAUGCAAUAUCCGGCAAUCCGUUCAUCGGAUUUCCGAACGGAUUGCACCAUCGCGUUCAGCACGACGAAGGCAAUGAAACUACGAUUUCGUUUCAUCCGAUUUACUUGCCGAUUUGCGACCAAACCCAACUGCUCUCCAACUAAUCCACAAAUUACACAUAGACCUAUGUAUAAACCCUAAAACCUUUAAUCCAAAUUCAAAUUUGAAUUCCCUACCACCAGUGGGUACCAGAAACAACUCUCACCUAACCCCAGGUCACAAACGUAGAGCACGAGGAGUCUCAUUAUGCAAGAACAGCAAAGAGCGAAAAUCCUCUUUUCGAUAAAAUUCCUUUUUCUCGAAAAUCGUGCAUCAGAUCUGAAAUCCGUCAGUGCCAUUGGUUCCAGAAUAGCUGAACCGAUCAAAACGAGCUAUUGGAUCGCUAUGAACAGAGUCCGAUACGCGUAGAAAGCCAACUCUACUCCGUGGCUUCACCGAAAAACCGGAGUUACUAUUCACUUAAGUGAAAACUAAUAAUCGCGUAACUUCUCCAUUUUAGCUCAUUUUCUCCUGAAACUUGACGAGUACUUAUGUAAUUAAAUUACACACAUAAACAUCAUCAACAGAGAGUUUAGUUGCACUGUAAAAAUCUCAAUCCUUACAUGAAGAAACGCUUAAUAUCAACACCUAUCCUUACCUUAUCUAUUAGUGGUGAAGGAUUCACUAUUUACAGUGAUGCCUCGAAGAAAGGAUUGGGAUGCAUCCUGAUGCAGAAUGACAAAGUGAUUGCCUAUGCUUCCUGACAGCUGAGGCUAUUCGAGGAGAACUACCCGACCCACGACCUAGAAUUGGCAACGGUAAUCUUUGCACUGAAAAUUUGGAGACAUUACCUCUACGGCGAGCCUUGUGAGAUUUUUACCGACCACAAAAGUUUAAAGUGCAUCUUCACAUAGAAAGAACUGAACAUGAGACAAAGAAGGUGGCUAGAAUUGUUGAUAGACUACAAUGUGACCAUCAAGUAUCAUCCGGGCAAAGCCAGCGUCGAGCCGAUGUCCUCAGCAGAAAAUCAAUAGGGAAUAUAGCGACAUUGGUUACUUCUCAGCAGCAUAUUUUGGAAGAUCUCAGACGGCUCGACAUAGAAAUUCGCAUCCAUGGGUAUGAAGCUCAUCUGGCUAACCUGCAGGUUCAACCUACACUGAUUGAUAGGAUCAAGUCAGCCCAAGCGAAUAUAUACAUCUUCAGAAGACUCGACAUUUAGUGGAAUCAGGAGCACAAUCGGAGUUUAGAAUUCACGAAGAUGGCUCUUUGAGAUUUAGGAACCGGUUAUGCGUUCCUAAGAAUCCAGAUUUUAAAAAUAAAAUUUUGAAGGAGGCCCAUUAUUCGGGAUAUUUAGUGCACCCUGGAGGAACAAAAAUGUACAGAGACUUGAAGAACAUCUUCUGGUGGAGUGACAUGAAAAGGGAGUUGCAGAGUUCGUGGCUAAGUGUUUGACUUGCCAGCGUGUGAAAGUUGAUAAGAAGAGAUCAGCCGGCUUACUUCAGCCCCUUCCUACUCCUGAGUGGAAAUGGGAGAGAAAAACUAUGGAUUUUGUUACUCGACUACCUAGAAGUGAGAAGGGCAAUGACGUAGUUUGGGUCAUAGUUGAUAGAUUGACUACGUCAGCGCACUUUCUGGCUGUAAAGACGGGUAUGACUUUGGAGAAACUAGCGGAGCUCUAUAUUGCACAAAUAGUAUGUCUACAUGGUGUUCCAGUUUCGAUCGUGUCUGAUCGUGAUUCAAGGUUCGUGGCUCACUUCUGGAAAGGAUUACAUAAAGCUUUGGGAACCACACUGGACUUCAGUACCGCCUUCCAUCCGCAAACAGAUGGCCAGUCCGAGAGAACGAUUCAAAUUUUCGAAGACAUGUUACGUGCUUAUGUAAUCGAUAUGAGAGGCUCUUGGAAUCAUUACCUACCAUUGGUCGAAUUUGCCUACAAUAAUAGCUUCCAGGCCAGCAUACAAAUGGCUCCCUUUGAAGCCUUGUAUGGACAGAAAUGUAGAUCCCCUCUAUGUUGGGAUGAUGUUGGUGAGAGAAAGCUACUUGGUCCGGAGAUUGUGCAACAAACUAUUGAGAAGGUUCAUUUGAUUAAGGAGCAUCUCAGAGCAGCUCAGAGUCGGCAGAAGAGCUACGCUGAUAAUCGAAGACGACCGCUCGAGUUUGAAGCCGGAGAUCGUGUCUUCUUGAACGUGUCACCCUCAAGAAGUAUUAUGCGCUUUGGAAUCCGUGGGAAGCUUAGCCCUCGUUAUGUGGGCCCUUUUGAGAUACUUGAAAGAAUUGGUGACGUAGCGUACAGACUAGCCUUACCGCCUUCUUUAGCUGGAGUGCACAACGCCUUUCAUGUAUCUAUGUUGAGAAAAUAUGUUCACGAUCCGAGCCACGUUGUAGAGCCGAAACCUUUGCAACUUAGAGAAGAUCUAUCUUAUGAUGAACGGCCGAUACGUAUUGUGGACCGAAAAGAGCAAGUUUUGAGAAGACGGGCCAUUCCAUAUAUUAAAGUCCAGUGGAGCAACCAUUCCGAACGAGAGGCUACUUGGGAACUUAAAGAACAGAUGAGGAAGAAGCACCCUCAACUCUUCGAGAGCUAAGGUGUGUUAAGUUUAGAGGACUAAACUUCUUUUAGGGGGGGGUGGUUGUAACACCCCACACUUUUAACUUCUUAUUUUGACUCCUUUUCUUUUGAAACUUGGACUUUUUUGUAAAUAUUAAGAGUAUUAGGGCUUGGCAGCAUUUUGUUUAUUUAAUCCCUAAUUUAAUUAGAUUUUUUUCCUUUUCUUUUAAUUCCGGAUGAACCCCUCCCCCAACCCGAUCAACCUUUUUCGCCUUUCCCGUACGACACUUUCUCUCUCCCCUCACCGCGUCCGUACGACUUCUGCCACUCCGCUCGUGCGCGCGCGACGCCAUCUGAUCCCUACCGUCGUCGCCGUCAUCCGUAGCGGCUUCCGCCGCAAUCCUCUUUGAUCGUUAUUUUUGGUUCGCUAUCGACGGAAUCUUGCCGUCGUCUUCACCAUUUCGAGAAGGUUUUUCUCUUUCCCUCAUUUUACCUCUAUAUCGAAUCUUGUGAUCAUCCAACCUCUCUAUUCAUCGUUAUAUUAUUAUUAUUUUGAAUACUCGUCUCUUAAUGGUUGAAAAUUGAAACCAUUAAAAUCCGAUUUCGUUAUAUCUAAUCUUCAUCGUUUGAACAGUUUAGUUUCAUAUCUUGUAUCCUCUGUAUGAUCUUGUUGCAUAAAACUUCGCACAUUCUACACAUUUUUGGAAUGCCCAUUAUAUGUUCGAUGAAACGCCUUUGAGAGGGCGAAUUUCGUUUUGUUUCUAAUUUCGAUCUCAUCUAAUUGUAAUUUGCCUAUUAAUAUUCCAACAUCUGAAAACCCUCUGUUUGAGCAUUGAAAUCUUCGUUUAUUAUUUAAAUUUCCGUUCAUGUUAUCUUCUUGGAAUAAUUUAAAUUCUCCAAAAACUCCUUCAUCCCUUUGAUCACUAUUUGAGGUUCGUCGAAUUUAUUAUUCUAAAUCCCUUUGUGCUCCGUCCCGACCUAUUUGCAUACCAUUAUAUUCUCUUUGCAUGUUCAUUUUAGUUAGCUUAUAGAGAAUCGCAUGUUUCUAUUUUAGGUUUCGAUGAUUAAUUUUCUGCGCAGUUUCGACUGGAUAAUUUCUCUCUUUAAAGCUGCGUUAAGGUAAGCGACCGGACACCCGUUAGUUUUUCGUAAGAUAAAUUAGGAAAAUAUUCCGAUUGUACCAAAUCUUAUUUUGUAGAUUUUAAAAU